rnacentral:rRNA from 1 species
UACGUAGGGUGCGAGCGUUAAUCGGAAUUACUGGGCGUAAAGCGUGCGCAGGCGGUUCUCCAAGUCCGUUGUGAAAGCCCCGGGCUCAACCUGGGAAUGGCAGUGGAAACUAGGGGACUGGAAUCUGGCAGAGGGGGGUGGAAUGCCGCGUGUAGCAGUGAAAUGCGUAGAGAUGCGGCGGAACACCGAUGGCGAAGGCAGCCCCCUGGGCUGAGAUUGACGCUGAGGCGCGAAAGCGUGGGGAGCAAACAGG